AAAUACAAUUAUGAGAGGACUGAUGGAUGGACAAUGAUUAACUAAUCUAUAUUUUUAUUUGAAAUGAAUAACUUCAAACUACAAAAUAUAGGGUUAGUCUAUCCAUUUUUAUAAAUCAGUUUACACUUUAUUUGUCAUGAUUCCAAUGGCAAAAAAGAGCUUAUUUACUAUAAGUGAAAGACUAAUCCUUCCAAUUACAAAUUGGGAGGAUUUUUUA
rnacentral:ncRNA from 21 species